UACGGAGGUCCCAAGCGUUAUCCGGAUUUAUUGGGUUUAAAGGGUGCGUAGGCGGCUUAUUAAGUCAGUGGUGAAAGCCCCAAGCUUAACUUGGGAACUGCCAUUGAUACUGAUGAGCUUGAGUAGAUUUGAGGCGGGCGGAAUGUGUCGUGUAGCGGUGAAAUGCUUAGAUAUGACACAGAACACCAAUUGCGUAGGCAGCUCGCUAAACUCUUACUGACGCUGAGGCACGAAAGCAUGGGGAUCAAACAGG
rnacentral:rRNA from 1 species